CACUGUGUCAGCUCUUACUUCAAUCAGCUUUAAAUAAACAUUUGUUUCAAAUAGUGAAACAAUUAAUGUAAACACAAAGUAUCAAAUUCAGCCCUGGAAUGAGCCAGUACCUGCCUACUGACUCCAGCUGGUUUAUACCAGUGUUGAAGAUGAGCAGGAUUACGUCGUCUUCGUAACCGUUUUACAGGGAGCAGCAAUUCACAGAAAAUAAUGUUUGAGAAUGCACAUAAAUAACAAAAAUAAAGGAGCAUCUAUAACCACGUCUUCUAGAAGUUUUUAACCUCCGGCUUAUUUUCUAAAGAUUUGAGACCUAGCCUUUGCCUCUUAAUCUGGUCAGAGUAUGAAUGAAUGCAGUUCAC
ensembl:lncRNA